rnacentral:rRNA from 1 species
GACGAACGCUAGCGGCGUGCUUAACACAUGCAAGUCGAACGGAAAGGCCCUGCUUUUGUGGGGUGCUCGAGUGGCGAACGGGUGAGUAACACGUGAGUAACCUGCCCUUGACUUUGGGAUAACUUCAGGAAACUGGGGCUAAUACCGGAUAGGAGCUCCUGCUGCAUGGUGGGGGUUGGAAAGUUUCGGCGGUUGGGGAUGGACUCGCGGCUUAUCAGCUUGUUGGUGGGGUAGUGGCUUACCAAGGCUUUGACGGGUGGCCGGCCUGAGAGGGUGACCGGCCACAUUGGGACUGAGAUACGGCCCAGACUCCUACGGGAGGCAGCAGUGGGGAAUAUUGCACAAUGGGCGGAAGCCUGAUGCAGCAACGCCGCGUGCGGGAUGACGGCCUUCGGGUUGUAAACCGCUUUCGCCUGUGACGAAGCGUGAGUGACGGUAAUGGGUAAAGAAGCACCGGCUAACUACGUG